rnacentral:rRNA from 1 species
CUACGGGAGGCAGCAGUGGGGAAUUUUACGCAAUGGGGGAAACCCUGACGUAGCGACACCGCGUGAACGAAGAAGCCUUUUGGGGUGUAAAGUUCUGUCAGCAGGGACGAAAAAAAUGACGGUACCUGCAGAGGAAGCAUCGGCUAACUACGUGCCAGCAGCCGCGGUAAGACGUAGGAUGCAAGCGUUGUCCGGAUUUAUUGGGCGUAAAGAGUUCGUAGGUGGUUUGUUAAGUCUGAUGUUAAAGACUGGGGCUCAACCUCGGAAAUGCAUUGGAUACUGGCAGACUCGAGUGCAGUAGAGGCAAGUGGAAUUCCAGGUGUAGCGGUGAAAUGCGUAGAUAUCUGGAAGAACACCGGUGGCGCAAGCGACUUGCUGGGCUGUAACUGACGCUGAGGAACGAAAGCUAGGGGAGCAAAUGGGAUUAGAUACCCCAGUAGUCCUANCCGUAAACGAUGGAUACUAGGCGUAUCGGGUAUCGA